rnacentral:rRNA from 1 species
GAUGAACGCUGGCGGCGUGCCUAAUACAUGCAAGUCGAGCGAACAGGCGAGGAGCUUGCUCCUCUGACGUUAGCGGCACACGGGUGAGUAACACGUGUAUAACCUCCCUAUAAUACUGGGAUAACUUCGGGACACCGGCGCUAAUACCGUAUAAUCUCUUGCACCGCAUUGUUCAAUAGUAAAAGUCGGUGUUUCUGUCACUUCUCGCUGGAUCCGCGCCGCAUUAGCUAGUUGGUAAGGUCACGGCUUACCAAGGCAACGAUGCGUAGCCGACGUGAGAGGGUGAUAGGCCACAUGGGAACGGAGACAGGGUCCAGACGCCUACGGGAGGGCGCAGUAGGGAAUCGGCCGCAACAGGCGGAAGUCUGACGGAGCAACGCCGCGUGAGUUAUGAAGAUCUUCGGAGCGGAAAACCCUGUUUUGAGGGAAGAACCAAUGUGUACGUAACCAUGCACGGCUUGACGGUACCUAAUCAGAAAGCCACGGCUAACUACGUG